CCGGGGUCGCGCAUGCCCGGUGCACACAUCGCGUCGCAGCUGGCGGUCUCUGCUCGGUUCCUGGUGGUGCUGCUCGCCGUCAUGGCUCUCGCGGUGCGCGUUGUUUAUUGUGGCGCUUGAGGCUACAAGCCCAAGUACCUCCAGCUCAAGGAGAAGCUGGAAGAUGAGUUCCCCGGAUGCCUAGACAUCUGUGGUGAGGGGACGCCCCAGUCCACCGGCUUCUUCGAAGUGACCGUAGCCGGGAAGCUGAUUCACUCCAAGAAGGGAGGCGAUGGCUUCGUGGACACGGACAGCAAGUUUCGGAAGCUGGUGGCUGCCAUCAAAGCCGCCUUGGCUCGGCGCUAGCGCGCCCUGAAGGCAGAGGAAUCGAACUCACGACCUUGUGCUUGCCAGGCCGGCGCUGUGCCACUGAGCUAAAUCCCCAGCCCCUUUGCCAGGUUUAAGUUUGAGUGCAGAAGCAUCCACUUCUGGGUCACUCGGACUAACGGUGCCUUCCAGGGCCCCCUGAGUUCGGUUGUGUUUGGCUGCCUUUGUUCCCUGUGAGCCCCAAGUCCGGAAAGGGCCUGAGGACCGUGACCCCGCCGCGCCUGGCCAACGCUUCAUGACGGGCAGGACCGAAAUGUCUCCGGAUGCCUGGUCUUUCCCCGAUGCUCUUGCGGCCGCCGGGUGGGGUGGAGGUCGACGCCCGUCUCUGCCUCUGUGGGAUGUGUGUCUUCCGGGAUCUGCCCCGGCACACUGCCCCAUCCCCGUCCCCAUCCCCUGCCCUGCCCCCCAUGCCUUGGGCCCCGUCUGAAUUGGCCCCAUGCUCCCCUCCAGGGAGCUGAGGGUCAGGGUGGGGACAGCGCCUCCAGCAACAGGCAGAGGCUCACAGUGAAGAAAUGGUUCACAUAAUAAACACUGGAUGAGUUCAGGA